CAAGCCAGCGAAUGGGCCAAGUUCAAGCCAGGAAUGGGCCAAGUUCAAGCCAGCGAAUGGGCCAAGUUCAAGCCAGCGAAUGGGCCAAGUUCAAGCCAGCGAAUGGGCCAAGUUCAAGCCAGCGAGUGGGCCAUGGCUGGGCAGGAACAGUUUUCAAGCAUGGAAGGUUCCCACUACGCUAGAAAGAAGAACGGAAGAGGAACUGCACCAGCAUUAUGUAUAUGAUAUAUUAGAGAAGAACAUUUGAUGCAGUUGUUGAUAUCACCAUUUAUGUGUAUGAUUUCAAAAUUACAAUUAUUCAUGUAUUCAUAUAUAAUUAUGUAAAGUACACACAUGCACAGACUCUGUACUGACUCAUUCUUGUUGUGUGCUGUGUGGCGCAGCUGUAACGUGCUGGUCGAGCAAUCUUGCGGACCUGCGUUCAAUCCUGUGCGCUACCAGUGAAUGGUUACCCCUGCCAUUCCUUGCACGCAGGCGGAGAUUAGGAAGCAAAAUAAAACAGACAGUAUGUCACAGCAAAGAAUAUCCAUUGUAACAAAUGGAAUUAAAACUAAAUCUUUAAAUCAUCGUUGUAAUGGUUGUGUAGAAAGCAGUCAAGUUUCCAAAUAAUGACAAAAAUAUUUCCAACAAAUAUAUUGAUACUGUCACAAGACAAGAUUGUUGAGAUAUGGUGUAGACAUUAUACUGACCUGUUUAAUUGUUUUCAAAAUGAGAUAAGAGAAUGUUGGCAAAGGCAAUUUCACUGAGAAAAACCUUAUCAGGAGGUAUGAAAUUUUAUUUGAAAACUUUAUGGCCAGUUGUGUGGUGUGGACUUGUUAGUUCAGAGAAUGAAAGAAUGCUAUUGUAGAAUUCACUCUAGGCUGUGUGUAUUUUUGUGGUCUAUGGUGUCUAUGGUGCCUCUCCUGAAUAUGAUCUUUGAAGUAUUUGUGCCUGUUUUGCAAAGGCAAACUAGUAAAAAAAAAUUUUAUUCGAACAACUUGUUUUCCUAGUGUUGAAAUAAUUCUGCUGUUAUAAAUCUUUGGCUCUAUUGAAAAGAAAUAACUUGUACAGUGUGCAUUUUCCCUUGAAUAUAUGAUUACCAAAUACCAUAGUUUUAAUUGUUUCGUGCUUCCAUGGUAUUAGAUCAUAUAAAUGAUGAAGAGCUUAGAAGAAUGUAUGAUAGACGUAUGAUCAGCAUUUCGGCGUGCCCAUCAGACUCGGAUAGUUCAUUAGGGAAGAAUCUUGCCUGGCCCAUUGGGUAAGUCAGGAUAUUGGAUAAAGGCGGACGGUGUACUUUGUUGGUAAUCACUGAAUUCUCUAGUUCUGUCACUUAUGUUUUCAAAAAUUAGAUCAUAUUUUUUGUAAAACGAUUUUACAUUUUAUUGGUAUAGACUGUUGAGAUUGAAAGAAAGAGAUUGAAUAUAUAUUUCUACACUCAGUUGGGAAAUGCGAACAUUGUUAGUACGGAAAUGUAAAGCAUAUAGUUCUAAGCUGUAUUGGUCUUAUAUUUUGAUGUAUAUUAUUGUAUAAUCAAUGUUCAGUAAUGACCCAGAUAAUGUAUAGUGGAUGGUGCUAUAUUAUAGGAUAAACAUAUUUUGUUAUAUGUACUAAUUCAAUAAAUUGUUUAUAUUUUACAU